rnacentral:rRNA from 1 species
GGAAUCUUGCGCAAUGGGCGAAAGCCUGACGCAGCCAUGCCGCGUGAAUGAUGAAGGUCUUAGGAUUGUAAAAUUCUUUCAGCGGGGACGAUAAUGACGGUACCCGCAGAAGAAGCCCCGGCUAACUUCGUGCCAGCAGCCGCGGUAAUACGAAGGGGGCUAGCGUUGCUCGGAAUUACUGGGCGUAAAGGGAGCGUAGGCGGAUAGUUUAGUCAGAGGUGAAAGCCCAGGGCUCAACCUUGGAAAUGCCUUUGAUACUGGCUAUCUUGAGUAUGGGAGAGGUAAGCGGAAUUCCGAGUGUAGAGGUGAAACUCGUAGAUAUUCGGAAGAACACCAGUGGCGAAGGCGGCUUACUGGCCCAUUACUGACGCUGAGGCUCGAAAGCGUGGGGAGCAAACAGGAUUAGAUACCCUGGUAGUCCACGCUGUAAACGAUGAGUGCUAGUUGUCGGCAUGCAUGCAUGUCGGUGACGCAGCUAACGCCUUAAGCACUCCGCCUGGGGAGUACGGUCGCAAGAUUAAAACUCAAAGGAAUUGACGG